UUAAAUGCAGUGAAAAGAAGAGUAGGUAUUUUCUAAUAGUUACAGAGAGUCGGCGUUGCUGAGAGUCCGAUUGCUAAUUGUCUAUACUGAAGAACAUCUUGGAGCAGCUGACCGAAAGCAUUUGUUAGUAGGCUCAGACGGUAGGAACCGUUAUAUUCCAUAAGCAAAAGCUUUAUGAGUGGCUGAGAUUAUCAGCAAUCAGGGUGGUACCGCGAAUUGAUUAUUAUACCUUUCGUCCCUAUU
rnacentral:ncRNA from 1 species